rnacentral:rRNA from 1 species
AGAGUUUGAUCCUGGCUCAGAUUGAACGCUGGCGGCAUGCUUUACACAUGCAAGUCGAACGGCAGCACGGGGGCAACCCUGGUGGCGAGUGGCGAACGGGUGAGUAAUAUAUCGGAACAUGUCCGGAAGUGGGGGAUAGCUCGGCGAAAGCCGGAUUAAUACCGCAUAUGCCCUGAGGGGGAAAGGAGGGGAUUCGCAAGGACCUUUCGCUUUCGGAGUGGCCGAUAUCGGAUUAGCUAGUUGGUGAGGUAAAGGCUCACCAAGGCGACGAUCCGUAGCUGGUCUGAGAGGACGACCAGCCACACUGGAACUGAGACACGGUCCAGACUCCUACGGGAGGCAGCAGUGGGGAAUUUUGGACAAUGGGGGAAACCCUGAUCCAGCCAUGCCGCGUGAGUGAAGAAGGCCUUCGGGUUGUAAAGCUCUUUCAGACGGAAAGAAACGGUUACAGAUAAUACCUGUGACUAAUGACGGUACCGUCAGAAGAAGCACCGGCUAACUACGUGCCAGCAGCCGCGGUAAUAC